UUAGAACCUAAAGAUGAUCAGGAUUCACUUGGUCAGUGAGAGAAAUGAGUUGCUAUGGCUUUCCUACAUAUUCAGACUGUAAGCAAUGUUAAUACAUGGAAUGUAUGCUCUUUGGGACACAGCAAAGUAUGAGCACCUCAUAAAUAUUUGUCAAAUGGAUGAAACAAUGAGGAAAUGAAGAUGAUUA